GACGAACGCUGGCGGCGUGCUUAACACAUGCAAGUCGAACGGUGAAGCGCCUUCCUUUUUGGUGGGUGUGGAUGAGUGGCGAACGGGUGAGUAACACGUGAGUAACCUGCCCCCUUCUUCUGGAUAACCGCAUGAAAGUGUGGCUAAUACGGGAUAUUCUGGGUCUGUCGCAUGAUGGGUCUGGGAAAGAUAUUGUUUCGGUGGGGGAUGGUCUCGCGGCCUAUCAGCUUGUUGGUGGGGUGAUGGCCUACCAAGGCGGUGACGGGUAGCCGGCCGGGGAGGGGGAAAGGAGAGAGGGGGACGGAGGGGUGGGGCAGAGUCGUGGGGGAGGGAGCAGGGGGGAAGAGGGUACAAUGGGCGGAAGGCGGAGGCAGCGACGGCGCGUGGGUGGGGAAGGGCUUAGGGUGGUAAAAAGGGUUGGCCGGGGUAGAAGCGGGAGUGACGGGAAGGGGAAAAGAAGCACCGGCUAAAUACGUG
rnacentral:rRNA from 1 species